CUGUAAUCCCAGCAUUCCAGAAGCUGAGGCAGAAAAAUCGUGAAUUACAAGCUAGCAAGAAACUAACUCAAAACCAAAAAGGACCCCAGGUCUUAAUCCUGAAGUUGGGAGUGGUGAGAAUGAAGUCAGAGCCACAGGUGAGAUCAUGCUGAAGUGCUCCCACCUGUUCUAGAAGGUGCUGAUUACAGCUCUUGAGGUGCUGAUUCUCCAUCUCCAGCUGGACAA